rnacentral:rRNA from 1 species
UACGUAGGGUCCGAGCGUUGUCCGGAAUUACUGGGCGUAAAGAGCUCGUAGGUGGUUUGUCGCGUUGUUCGUGAAAACUCACAGCUUAACUGUGGGCGUGCGGGCGAUACGGGCAGACUUGAGUACUGCAGGGGAGACUGGAAUUCCUGGUGUAGCGGUGGAAUGCGCAGAUAUCAGGAGGAACACCGAUGGCGAAGGCAGUUCUCUGGGCCGUAACUGACGCUGAGGAGCGAAAGCGUGGGGAGCGAACAGG